rnacentral:siRNA from 1 species
UUAGUUGACCGGAUGGUUGUG